rnacentral:rRNA from 1 species
GAUGAACGCUGGCGGCGUGCCUAAUACAUGCCGGUCGAGCGAACAGACGAGGAGCUUGCUCCUCUGACGUUAGCGGCGGACGGGUGAGUAACACGUGGAUAACCUACCUAUAAGACUGGGAUAACUUCGGGAAACCGGAGCUAAUACCGGAUAAUAUAUUGAACCGCAUGGUUCAAUAGUGAAAGACGGUUUUGCUGUCACUUAUAGAUGGAUCCGCGCCGCAUUAGCUAGUUGGUAAGGUAACGGCUUACCAAGGCAACGAUGCGUAGCCGACCUGAGAGGGUGAUCGGCCACACUGGAACCGAGACACGGUCCAGACUCCUACGGGAGGCAGCAGUAGGGAAUCUUCCGCAAUGGGCGAAAGCCUGACGGAGCAACGCCGCGUGAGUGAUGAAGGUCUUCGGAUCGUAAAACUCUGUUAUUAGGGAAGAACAAAUGUGUAAGUAACUAUGCACGUCUUGACGGUACCUAAUCAGAAAGCCACGGCUAACUACGUG